rnacentral:rRNA from 1 species
GCGAAAGCCUGAUGGAGCGACACCGCGUGAAGGACGAAGGUCUUCGGAUUGUAAACUUCUUUAGGCCUAGAUGAAGGCUGCAAGGUGAAUAAUCUUGCAGUUUGACAGUAUAGGUAGAAUAAGCCACGGCUAACUCUGUGCCAGCAGCCGCGGUAAUACAGAGGUGGCAAACGUUGUCCGGAUUUAUUGGGUGUAAAGGGCAUGUAGGUGGUUUUGUAAGUCAAAGGUGAAAUGGCCCGGCUCAACCAGGUCAUUGCCUUUGAAACUGCAGGACUUGAGUACGGAAGAGGAAAGCGGAAUUCCCAGUGUAGCGGUGAAAUGCGUAGAUAUUGGGAGGAACACCGGUGGCGAAGGCGGCUUUCUGGUCCGAAACUGACACUGAGAUGCGAAAGCCAGGGGAGCAAACAGGAUUAGAUACCCUGGUAGUCCACGCUGUAAACGAUGUGUGCUAGUCGUUGGGGAGCCUAGCUUUCCGGUGUCGCAGCAAACGCGAUAAGCACACCGCCUGGGGAGUA